GCGGCGUGCCUAAUACAUGCAAGUCGAGCGGAAGAUGGGAGCUUGCUCCCUGAAGUCAGCGGCGGACGGGUGAGUAACACGUGGGCAACCUGCCUGUAAGACUGGGAUAACUCCGGGAAACCGGGGCUAAUACCGGAUAAUUCUUUCCCUCACAUGAGGGAAAGCUGAAAGAUGGUUUCGGCUAUCACUUACAGAUGGGCCCGCGGCGCAUUAGCUAGUUGGUGAGGUAACGGCUCACCAAGGCAACGAUGCGUAGCCGACCUGAGAGGGUGAUCGGCCACACUGGGACUGAGACACGGCCCAGACUCCUACGGGAGGCAGCAGUAGGGAAUCUUCCGCAAUGGACGAAAGUCUGACGGAGCAACGCCGCGUGAGUGAUGAAGGUUUUCGGAUCGUAAAACUCUGUUGUUAGGGAAGAACAAGUACCGGCAGUAACUGCCGGUACCUUGACGGUACCUAACCAGAAAGCCACGGCUAACUACGUGCCAGCAGCCGCGUUAAAU
rnacentral:rRNA from 2 species